AAAAAAUGUGCAAAACCAGAAGUUGCCCAAUUUUUGGCAAUUGCCGUUUUUCCGGCAAAUUCGGCAAAUUGCCAAUGUGCCGACUUGACGGAAAAACUGUUGGCCG
ensembl:ncRNA F13C5.10 ncRNA